rnacentral:rRNA from 1 species
AUUGAACGCUGGCGGCAUGCUUUACACAUGCAAGUCGAACGGUAACAGGCCUUCGGGUGCUGACGAGUGGCGAACGGGUGAGUAAUGCAUCGGAACGUGCCCAGAGGUGGGGGAUAACGCAGCGAAAGCUGUGCUAAUACCGCAUGUGAUCUGAGGAUGAAAGCGGGGGACCAGGCAGCAAUGUUUGGCCUCGCGCCUUUGGAGCGGCCGAUGUCAGAUUAGGUAGUUGGUGGGGUAAAGGCCUACCAAGCCGACGAUCUGUAGCUGGUCUGAGAGGACGACAGGCCACACUGGGACUGAGACACGGCCCAGACUCCUACGGGAGGCAGCAGUGGGGAAUUUUGGACAAUGGGCGCAAGCCUGAUCCAGCAAUGCCGCGUGCGGGAAGAAGGCCUUCGGGUUGUAAACCGCUUUUGUACGGAACGAAAAGGCUCUGGCUAAUACCUGGGGCUGAUGACGGUACCGUAAGAAUAAGCACCGGCUAACUACGUG